rnacentral:misc_RNA from 1 species
CGUCACUGUGAUUGGUGGGUGUGAAUUUCGUGUUGUUAAGGCAGUUUGACCCGGUGACUCAAUUUCAGUUUAGCAGAAUAUACUAGUUUCGAUUUCUUUAACUAAUUUCUCACUGUGAACCAAAAGAAGAUCUAAAUCUUCUGAACAUAAUUCAAUAAUUUACCCAAAACCUCUUUCUACCAGUAUGUAUGAAUGUCUGAGACCAAACUGAGAAACACGCAAGAAAAGUCGUGGGAAAUGAGCACAGAAUUUACCCGCCUCCUGCCGGCCCCAGUUCCUGUUACACCACACUGGAAAGAUGUUGUAAAGAAGCACUUCUCAAAAUGUUGCACCACAUCUUCAUUGAAACAGAAAUUUCCUAUAAGUCAAUGGCUUCCUAAAUACAGGUUUAGUUAUUUAAGAUCAGACAUAAUUGCUGGAUUAACUGUAACAUUAACAGUUAUUCCCCAAGGACUUGCUUAUGCCAAAAUUGCUAGAUUACCUCCACAGUAUGGCCUUUAUGCAGCAUUUAUGGGUUGUUUUGUGUACUGCAUCCUGGGGACUGCCAAAGAUAUCACACUUGGACCCACUGCCAUCAUGUCCUUAAUGACUGCAGCAUUUGGGAAUUCCCCUGUCAACAAUGAUCCAACAUAUGCUAUCUUAUUAGCAUUUUUCUGUGGAAUAAUCCAAUUGUUAAUGGGAUUUUUUAAUCUUGGAAUUCUAGUAAAUUUCAUAUCCUACCCUGUGAUUAACUCUUUUACAAGUGCUGCUGCUAUUACAAUCAGUAUUGGACAAGUCAAGAAUAUCUUAGGCUUAAAGAAAAUUCCACGAGACUUUUUAAAAUGUGUUUACUACACUUUUGCAAAACUGGGAGAAACAAAUGUCUGGGAUCUUCUCUUAGGUGUUUCCUGCUUGGUUUUGGUACAUUUCAUCAAAAAGCUUCGUUCCAUAAAUUGGAUGGACACUGAUGAAACAAUACAUUGGUCUCAGAAAAUUGCCCGGAAUUUUUUGUGGUUGUUUGGAACUGCUGCAAAUGCAGUCAUAGUAAUAUCAGCUUCAGCAAUAUCUUAUGCAGUAAUAAGUCAAAAUCCAGACAAAAAUAUAUUUACUCUCACCAAUGACAUUCAAGAAGGACUGCCACCUUUCAGAAUCCCAGAUUUUUCAAUCCAUACCAAGAAUGUCACUCGAUCCACAUCAGAAAUUCUCUCUGAUAUUGGACCAGGGUUCAUUAUUAUACCAAUUCUUGGAAUUCUUGAAACUAUUGCAAUUGGAAAAGCAUUUGCUCGUAAAAAUCAUUAUAAACUUGAUCCAACUCAAGAAUUCAUUGCCUUAGGUGCAGCAAAUGUUAUCAGCUCCUUUUGUUCUUCCUACCCAGUCGCAGGCAGCUUUUCAAGAACUGCCAUAAAUUCUCAGAGUGGUGUGAAAACUCCCUUCGGUAACAUUAUUACAGGUUCUGCUGUGCUGUUGGCUCUGAAAACUUUUACUCCUGUCGUCAAAUACAUCCCUGCAGCUGCCCUUGCUGCUAUCAUUAUCCAUGCAGUGGUUGGAAUGAUUGACACUUCAAUUGUUAUGAAAUUAUGGAGGCUAAAAAUGUUCUUCACUAAAUCAAACCAUUGGAUUCUAAUAACAAGAAACACAAAUUCCAGACCAAGAAAAAACAAGAUUGAUCUUGUAAUAUAUGUAAUAACAUUUGUAAUGUCGCUGUGUAUAGGAAUAGAGUAUGGAAUACUAAUUGGAAUAGCAGUGUCUUUAAUAACUUUACUAUACCCACUAUCUCGGCCAAAUAUCCAGGGGACGAGCCCAAAGCUAUUAUUGUAGAUUGCCAAUAUAUUUAUAAAUUGGACUAUACAGCAAUUCAGUGUUUGUUCAAACUAGUGUCAGAACUUAAUCAAAGAAAUAUUUCACUAAUACUCUCUGGCCUCAGGCCAUCUGUUCGCAAUGAAAUUGUCAACGCUGAUAUCACUCCACUUCUGUUUUCCUCUUCCGUUGAAUCUGC